GGCCGGUUGGCCCAAUGGCAAGGCGUCUGACUACGAUUUAAUAUGUUAUCAGGAGAUUCUGGGUUCGACCCCCAGGCUGGUCA
rnacentral:tRNA from 1 species